AAUAGAUACCCUGGUAGUCCACGCCGUAAACGAUGUCGACUUGGAGGUUGUGCCCUUGAGGCGUGGCUUCCGGAGCUAACGCGUUAAGUCGACCGCCUGGGGAGUACGGCCGCAAGGUUAAAACUCAAAUGAAUUGACGGGGCCCGCACAAGCGGUGGAGCAUGUGGUUUAAUUCGAUGCAACGCGAAGAACCUUACCUACUCUUUGACAUCCAGAGAACUUAGCAGAGAUGCUUUGGUGCCUUCGGGAACUCUGAGACAGGUGCUGCAUGGCUGUCGUCAGCUCGUGUUGUGAAAUGUUGGGUUAAGUCCCGCAACGAGCGCAACCCUUAUCCUUUGUUGCCAGCGGUUAGGCCGGGAACUCAAAGGAGACUGCCAGUGAUAAACUGGAGGAAGGUGGGGAUGACGUCAAGUCAUCAUGGCCCUUACGAGUAGGGCUACACACGUGCUACAAUGGCAUAUACAAAGAGAAGCGACCUCGCGAGAGCAAGCGGACCUCAUAAAGUAUGUCGUAGUCCGGA
rnacentral:rRNA from 1 species